CGCAGAGCGUAUUUCAACCGCAGCCGCAAAAACAAACUCAAACUCGCAGCUAAUCGCUGCAUAAAUUGCUGUUCGAAUUGAACAAUUGAACAGUCUCAGUUCGCAGCUCAGAUCGGAAAUAAGCUACAAAAGCCAGUUGAAGCAAAAAUCAAAUAAUAAUAAUUAGUAGCAGUUUGCAUUCGCGUGUUUUGAAGCUUCGAAAUGAGAUUGGUGAUCUUGGAAACCAGCGACUCGGUUGGCAAGUGGGCAGCCAAAUAUGUGAUGAAACGUAUCAAUGACUUCCAGCCGAGCGCCGACAGAUACUUUGUUUUGGGCCUGCCCACGGGUUCCACUCCAUUGGGGAUGUACAAGGAGCUGAUCGAGUUUCACAAGCAGGGCAAGGUAUCCUUUCAGUAUGUGAAAACCUUCAAUAUGGAUGAGUAUGUGGGACUGGCCAGAGAUCACCACGAAAGCUAUCACUACUUCAUGUGGAACAACUUCUUCAAACACAUCGACAUUGAACCCAGGAAUGUGCACAUUUUGGAUGGCAAUGCAGCUGAUCUGGUGGCCGAGUGCAAUAAGUUCGAGGAUCAGAUCCGCGAGGCUGGCGGAGUGGAGCUGUUUAUCGGUGGCAUUGGACCCGAUGGCCAUAUUGCCUUCAAUGAGCCCGGAUCCUCGUUGGUGUCCAGGACUCGCGUGAAAACUCUGGCACAGGAUACACUGGAAGCGAAUGCCCGUUUCUUCGAAAACGAUAUGAGCAAGGUGCCAAAGCAGGCCCUAACCGUGGGCGUUGGCACUGUGAUGGACUCCAAGGAGGUGAUGAUCCUGAUCACCGGAGCUCACAAGGCAUUCGCCCUGUACAAGGCCAUCGAGGAGGGUGUGAAUCACAUGUGGACCGUUAGUGCCUUCCAGCAGCAUGCAAACACACUGAUGAUCUGCGACGAGGAUGCCACUUUGGAGCUGAGAGUUAAGACCGUGAAAUACUUCAAGGUAUGCCCGCCAACGAUUUCGUCGAUUUUGUAGAGAACUGGGCAUAGACGAACUGGUAACCUGGUGCUAAGGUGGCUUCCGAAGGUGUUGGUCUAAUAACCCCCUAAUCAAACUACCAUUGCUGCCUAAUCUUUAGAUCCCAAAGUGCAUAAAUGGGCACUCUUAUAUGGUUGUUACUUAGGUCUAAGAAUUUGCAUGCCUAUAAGCUUGUAAUAUAUGCUUCCACGGUUGUAGGGCAUUCUCAGAGAUCUAGACGAAGGCUCCCAACUGGAGGGCUACAAAAACUGAUUUUACGUAAAAGCCUUAUGGACGUACAUUCCAAGCUGAUAGAGCAACAAAAGACGACGUAACCCCCGAUAACCAAGGGAAUAU